rnacentral:rRNA from 1 species
GACGAACGCUGGCGGCGUGCUUAACACAUGCAAGUCGAACGGAAAGGCCCUGCUUUUGUGGGGUGCUCGAGUGGCGAACGGGUGAGUAACACGUGAGUAACCUGCCCUUGACUUUGGGAUAACUUCAGGAAACUGGGGCUAAUACCGGAUAGGAGCUCCUGCUGCAUGGUGGGGGUUGGAAAGUUUCGGCGGUUGGGGAUGGACUCGCGGCUUAUCAGCUUGUUGGUGGGGUAGUGGCUUACCAAGGCUUUGACGGGUAGCCGGCCUGAGAGGGUGACCGGGCACAUUGGGACUGAGAGACGGCCCAGACUCCAACGGGAGGCAGCAGUGGGGAAUAUUGCACAAUGGGCGGAAGCCUGAUGCAGAAACGCCGCGUGCGGGAUGACGGCCUUCGGGUUGUAAACCGCUUUCGCCUGUGACGAAGCGUGAGUGACGGUAAUGGGUAAAGAAGCACCGGCUAACUACGUG